GAGUGACUCUCUAGGUUGAAUGGCCUUUAGGGAGGCAUCCUGGGGCUGGCUAGUAGUUUACCAAACUUGGGAAGAAAGUUUGGCAUUGAAUUUGUUUUACUGUUUGCAAAUAAAGCUUAAGCCCAGGAAGGGGUUAGGGUUCCAAUCCAUUCUUCCUUGGAGGAGGGGAAGAGCCAGGAGAUGGGAUGGUGGGGGAGUUCAGUUUCUUCUGUCUCCUGAAAAAGGAAGAGAGGCUGAAUUCAAGGCUGGUGUGAAGUUGCUUCAUUGGCUCCCCGAGGUCUGAAAUUUAGAAUCCACAGGGGUGGAAUGAUAAAGUGUUUCCAAAAGUCAAAGACACAGAUCUUCAGCUGGACCAGAGCUUCACUUGGUGCAGCUGAGGGGGACAAAGGUGACUGCCAGAGGCUAGACUGACAUAACAGGUUCACUGCUCCAAAUUACGCCUGGCUGCACAAGACACAAGGGGCCAUUCUGCCGCUGGGGAUCUACAGUAUGUAGGCAUACCUCCAUAAUGGGGGAAUCGCCAGCUGUCAACUUACGAUAGCUUUAUGGGUCCUGCUGCAAAGGAGACAGAUCUGGCUCUAAAAGAGGAGAUUAAUGUUUCCUUUUAUAUACCAUUCCCAUGUACCUUGAGGAAAGUCUGUUGGUUCCGACUCUACAGUUUGUUAGUCUGUGAGGGUGAUAAUAGAAGGCUUCAGCAGGCAUUUGUUGAUAGUUAGCAAUGAUUCUAUAUGAGGCUGUAGUGCCAGUUAGACCUAGUCCUACACAGGGCAUGGCGGUCAGUGCUACAGCAUGUGCAGAGAAGCAGCAGGAGGCAUUCUCUCUCAUAAAAUGCCUCCUGGAAGUCUUUGCUGAGUAGGGGAGCACACAAACAGCUACCCCCUUUUAAGGAGUUCAGCAUCUCCCCCUACCCUCUUCCUGCAUGACUAACUAAUGGAGCAGGAUUGGGGAUAAACAGGAUCAUGGCUCCACCUGCUCACCAUCCCCUUUUGUGUGUUCUCUGCCCCUGAGGGAAUUAUGUGGGGGGCAAUCUCAGAGUUGUCCUGAACACUGGGACUGCAAUUCUCCCUAAUCCUAACACUGGACUCAUAUAGGUGGUAGGAUAUAAACAUCUUCCCCUCCAUCUCUCAGCCCUACAGCACACCCAAUUAAGGGCUAACUAGAAUCUAGCCCACAGAGAUUGAAUGAAUAAUAAAAAUUAACCGUGACAGUUUGUUAUAGUGAACUCUCUCAAUAAGAAUCCAGGCCUUAAAUGCCACAUAAGAAAACUCAGGAUAAGGCUUUUGUAUUUAGGCUUAACUAAGUGAUGUAUUUGUGUGUCUUGUCUCGAUUUUUCCCU